AUACGUAGGGGGCGAGCGUUGUCCGGAAUGACUGGGCGUAAAGGGCGCGUAGGCGGCUGAAUAAGUUAGGAGUGAAAUUCCAGUUUUCAAGGCUGGAACUGCUUUUAAUACUGUUGAGCUUGGGUGCAGAAGAGGUAAGCGGAAUUCCCAGUGUAGCGGUGAAAGGCGUAGAGAUUGGGAAGAACACCAGUGGCGAAGGCGGCUUACUGGGCUGUAACUGACGCUGAGGCGCGAAAGCGUGGGGAGCGAACAGGAUUAGAUACCCUGGUAGUCCACGCUGUAAACGAUGAAUGCUAGGUGUAGGGGGUAUCGACCCCUCCUGUGCCGGAGUGAACGCAAUAAGCAUUCCGCCUGGGGAGUACGGCCGCAAGGUUGAAACUCAAAUGAAUUGACGGGG
rnacentral:rRNA from 1 species